GGGGAAUAUUGGACAAUGGGCGAAAGCCUGAUCCAGCAAUGCCGCGUGAGUGAUGAAGGCCUUAGGGUUGUAAAGCUCUUUUACCAGGGAUGAUAAUGACAGUACCUGGAGAAUAAGCUCCGGCUAACUCCGUGCCAGCAGCCGCGGUAAUACGGAGGGAGCUAGCGUUGUUCGGAAUUACUGGGCGUAAAGCGCACGUAGGCGGCUUUUCAAGUCAGGGGUGAAAUCCCGGGGCUCAACCCCGGAACUGCCCUUGAAACUGGAUGGCUAGAAUACUGGAGAGGUGAGUGGAAUUCCGAGUGUAGAGGUGAAAUUCGUAGAUAUUCGGAAGAACACCAGUGGCGAAGGCGACUCACUGGACAGUUAUUGACGCUGAGGUGCGAAAGCGUGGGGAGCAAAC
rnacentral:rRNA from 1 species